AUUGAACGCUGGCGGCAGGCCUAACACAUGCAAGUCGAACGAGUGGCGGACGGGUGAGUAAUGUCUGGGAAACUGCCCGAUGGAGGGGGAUAACUACUGGAAACGGUAGCUAAUACCGCAUACCAUCGGAUGUGCCCAGAUGGGAUUAGCUAGUAGGUGGGGUAACGGCUCACCUAGGCGACGAUCCCUAGCUGGUCUGAGAGGAUGACCAGCCACACUGAAACUGGGACACGGUCCGGACUCCUACGGGGGGAGGAAGUGGGGAGUAUUGCACAGUGGGCGCAAGCCUGAUGCAGCCAUGCCGGGUGUAUGAAGAAGGCCUUCGGGUUGUAAAGUACUUUCAGCGAGGAGGCGUUACUCGCAGAGGAAGCACCGGCUAACUCCGUGCCAGCAGCCGCGGUAAUAC
rnacentral:rRNA from 1 species